rnacentral:rRNA from 1 species
CCUACGGGUGGCUGCAGUAGGGAAUUUUCGGCAAUGGGGGGAACCCUGACCGAGCAACGCCGCGUGAACGAAGAAGUUAUUCGUAAUGUAAAGUUCUUUUAACAGGGAAGAAAGAGAAAUUUGACGGUACCUGAAGAAUAAGCUCCGGCUAACAACGUGCCAGCAGCCGCGUUAAUACGUAGGGAGCGAGCGUUCUCCGGAAUUAUUGGGCGUAAAGGGUGCGUAGAUGGCAUCGUAAGUCUUUUGUAAAAAUGCUGGGCUCAAACCAGGAGGGCAAAAGGUACUGCAAAGCUAGAGUAGGACAGAGGGAAGGGGGACUACGUGGGGAGCGGUAAAAUGCGUAAAUAUAUGU